GACUUUAGAUAUGAUCCAGAGUACCACGGGACACGUGAAACCCUGUGGGAAGCAGGAGGGACCACCCUCCAAGGCUAAAUACUACCUAGUGACCGAUAGCGUAUAGUACCGUGAGGGAAAGGUGAAAAGAACCCCGGGAGGGGAGUGAAAUAGAACCUGAAACCCUGCACUUACAAGCUGUGGAAGCACAUUUCUUGUGUGACCGCGUACUUUUUGUAGAACGGGCCAACGAGUUACGUUAAGUAGCAAGGUUAAGCACUUAAGGUGCGGAGCCGUAGCGAAAGCGAGUUUUAACUGAGCGUUCAGUUACUUGACGUAGACCCGAAACCGGGCGACCUACCCAUGAGCAGGAUGAAGCGAAAGUAAAAUUUCGUGGAGGUCCGAACCCACGAGCGUUGAAAAGCUCGGGGAUGACUUGUGGGUAGCGGUGAAAUUCCAAUCGAGCCCGGAGAUAGCUGGUUCUCCCCGAAAUAGCUUUAGGGCUAGCCUCAAGGUGAGAGAUACGGAGGUAGAGCACUGAAUGUCCUAGGGGGUAUUGCACCUACCGAAGACUAUCAAACUCCGAAUGCCGUCAUCUUAUACUUGGGAGUCAGACUGUGGGUGAUAAGAUUCAUAGUCGAAAGGGCAACAGCCCAGAUCGUCAGCUAAGGUCCCUAAAUGUAAGUUAAGUGGUAAAGGAUGUGGGAUUGCACAGACAACCAGGAUGUUGGCUUAGAAGCAGCCACUCAUUCAAAGAGUGCGUAAUAGCUCACUGGUCGAGUGAUCCUGCGCCGAAGAUUUCCGGGGCUAAAACUU
rnacentral:rRNA from 1 species